rnacentral:rRNA from 1 species
AUAGUUUGAUUCUAGCUCAUAUAUUAAAUAUUUUAAUCUAAUCCACAUGCAUACUCCUUACACCUGUGAGUAAAUCUCCAAUUUAAUACAUCAAAUUCAUAAUUUUGUCCUCAUAAAUAUGUAACCCCCUCACGUCUGCAGUGUAUAAUUCUUACUUUCCAAUUAAUGUUGUAUAGGGAUUAAAUUUUUGUACUGACCAAAUCUGUGCCAGCAGUCGCGGUUACUCAGAGAGUACUCUUAAUACCUUUAGGAAUGAUUUUGAGAUAAACCUUUCUCCCUUGGUGUCUAACCCUCUACUUACACUUCUCCUUUUAUCUCCUUCUAAAUCGAAAGGAUAGCCCAAAACAAGGAUUAGAUACCCUUUUAUUCUAUCCCUUAAAUUAAACCCUGGGCACUACGAACUCAUGUUUAAAACCCAAAGAACUUGGCGGCAAUCUAACCUCUUAGGGGAACCUGUAGUUUAAUUUGAUACUCCCCAUCCACCUUUCUUUAACUUGAAUCCAGCAUGUAUACUGCCGUCGUCAGUUUACCUUUUAAAAGUUAGUAAACAAUUAAAAUUUCUUUCCCACGUCAGGUCAAAGUGCAGCUUAUUUUAAAGUAUUUAUGGGUUACAUCCCUCACUAGGUAACGGAAUAAUAUCAGAAUAAUAUUAUCAAGAUGGACUUAAUUGUAAAACUCUCUCAACCAAUUAUUUUUGAACCAAGGCAUCUAGAUUGUGCACAAAUCGCCCGUCACUCCCCUCUAAAGAGGGGAUAAGUCGUAACAUAGUGGGGAUAAUGGAAAUUGUCCCCA